rnacentral:tRNA from 1 species
CACUGUACAGCUGUCUCAGCAUUAACCUUUUAAGUUAAAGAUUGAGGGCAUACCCUCUGCAGUGA